rnacentral:lncRNA from 1 species
GCCGAGACAGAAAUCCCAAGAUUCUGGUUGGAACCAAGACCCUUCAGUUGAGUGAAAAAUCCUGUCCUGCUCUGGCCUCUGCCCUGCUCUGAACUCUGCAUGCAGGCACACAGGAUCUGCUGUUGGCUGACUCUCUCGAUGCAUCCACAUCCUUCUCUCCACUCAUCUGACUCAGUCUGCAUCUAAAAGGGACAAUGAAGACCAUCCCAGCUUGGCUAACUCUGGAAGGAAUUGGACAGAGUGAACCUGGUAUUUCCAAGACCAUUGGAAGACUCCGGUGGAAUCCCGGGGGCUUCUACCACACUCAGGCUUGCUGUUGGUUAAGGGUGGCUGCUGCCUGGAGGAAAGCAGGGGAGGAUGCUGCUGGAUGUCCUGCAAGGACACAGCCCUCACUUCUAGAGGAAGAAUCCAGUGGCUUCUAAACAAAGAAGAUGCAGCCAACAAGCAUGGGACAUGUGAGACAAAACACAAGAGGGAGUACACAGCCACCCGCAUCUCCAUCUGUGCUCCAGCCAUCCCUGCUAGUCUCCAACAGACUCCACAGGGAGUGGCCCUACUGUCCCCAAAUUGGAUUCUCAUUCAUUUUCUCUCUGUCUCUCAGGGACCUGGACCUGCCCAACCCCUCUGACUCUUACUUUUUUCCAAAUAAAAUCUCUUGCCAUGCUAGCAAAGG